rnacentral:lncRNA from 1 species
UCCAUUUACAAUACACAGGCCUUAAGACCUCAUGAGCCCAAAUACAAAAGCCCCAUACCCGGUUACAACCCAUAUCAGAUUAUAUCACUACCCAAUAGACCCAAAUAGUCCCAAGUCACUCGGGCCCAAAAGGCCCAAUGACUUAAAGUACCAGCAGGAAACCCUAGGAACCCCAGCGCCGUAAGAGCCAUUCUAGAAGCAUCGCCACGUCAGAGCCGUUCCAGCUCCCAAAGCAAGGGCCAUCAAUAGCCCUGUCCCCUCACGUCACCCCAGCUGGCCCUCAGCAAUGUCGGUCAGAUUGACGGUCACGAGAUCCUUCGGGCACUCUAAACGUCAUCACUGUUAACCUCACAUCAGUGCACCGCGAUCUCAGGCCUCACCGACGACCUUUUGUGCCUCUAUCAGUGCCGAAAUCUUCGCAGCAAGGGCUGUUUAGUGGUCACCAGACAAGAUUUGCAUCUACAGCGCAAUCUUAGCCGGAUUUUUUGGUACCUGCAAGACAAAGAAACCAACAGACAUAGGAAAGAAAAUGGGACAAAAUAGGAAACUAAAUAGACAAAUAGGGCAAGAAACAACAGUAGAUAAACUGAAACAAAUAAGGAAAGAAAUCAAAGAUUUCUUUCCUAAAACAUGCAUAGUCUAGAGGCUAUAAAGCAGUUCUUUAGAUUUGUAAACAGUUACGGAGAUUGAAUAAAAAAGAAGAACACAAAUUUUUACACUAAGAAUCAACAGUCAAACGAAAGAAUAUUGAGGUGAUUAUUUUUUUUCUUUUCUCUUUUAAAAAUACGUGCUAAUAUUGUAGAGAAAUAAAAAAGGGAAAGGACGUACCUUUUAUUUGCGUCAGAAAGCGAGUUUCUUUAAACCUCUGACCACCGUACGGGGAGGAGUAGGCGACGGCAUGUGGGCGCGUGGGCGCGUGAGGCCGACGACCAGGGCUCGGAUCGACGGAGACUGGAGCCUAGAUCUCUCUUUCCCCUCUCAUUUCAGAGAGAAUUUUAGAUUUUUUUUUAAAAAAC